GCAUGGAUAUGGAUAUACUGUUAAUUGAUUAGUCUCAUAGUUUUCUCAUUUUCGAUAUUAUCUUCAUGUUGCAUCUGCUUUUGAUGUUGACUCGGGGUUAUACUUCUGUUGUUUAUCCAGUGUGGAGUAUUGCACCCAUAUGAUACACAGCUAUAUAGAAUAAGUGCAUUGACAAAGAUAUAGAGAUGGCAAUUGCCAAAUGUCACCCAGUAAGUAGUGGACGAGUGGUUAAGAUGAUGUUGCUCUUUGGGCCCCUAUCGCUAGUUCGAAUCCAGUUGUUGGGGAGGGAGGGGUGUCGUUUAAUUGGUUGAGAGGGUAUUGCUCUUUGGGCCCCUGUCGCCAGUUAGGUGUGCUUUAAAGGUUGCUCCCGAGCUGUAGGAGAUGUAGUCGGGUUAAAGGCUCGGUGAACUUCUUAGUUAACAAAAAAAAAUUGCCAAAUGCCAACUGCCAAGUCUUGUAGGCUACUACUAUGUGCAGAUGAGAAUAUAUCCAUUAUAGAGUUAAGUGCUUGAUAGAUGCCUUAGGUAGAAAUAUGGUCUAAUGUUCGAGAGGAAAAGGUAAAAAAAAAAACAAAUCUUUUGUUCCUUGAAUGAUAUCUCUGCAUUUAUUUGGACCAACCAUUUUGCAAUUUCUCGUGGUUCUGAUUUAUCUUUGCGCUUUAUUCUGUUUGUGAAGAACCAAUCAGGCCUUCAGGGUAAAGUAUUCCAAGCAUGUGGGGUGAGAAUAUGCUUCCCCAGAGGCUUCAUCAAAUGUGCUGGUCUGGCUUUAUGAUAUUCCACAAGGGUCUUGGUCUAAAACUGCUUUGGUUUGCAAACCAAGUGCUUAACCUUUUUUAUGCUGCGGGAAGAUUAUCGCCUUUUAUAGCUUGUUGUUCUGCCUUUGUGCUACUGUUGUGACGGUUCUUUUUCAAUACCGAAACCCUUUAAUCCCCUGAUUCUUUCCUUUCCUCCAUUGAAAUGUCACUCUUGAGGUAAAAAGAAAGGUUAUAAGAAGACCCAUAUGUUCUUUCUUGCUUGUACGUUCAUCUCCCUUUGGCAGAUUCUGUUCUGGUAACUGACUUUACUCUUGAUGUCAGAAAAGAACUCUUGACGCAGCAGAAGUGUUAGUUAGCUCGAGGCUUGUGCCAACGUCUCUGGAUCGUGAUUGGUUAAUCGAACGAGAUAGGAUUGGACAGAGAAAACAGGAAGCGGGAAAUGGCAAAGGAAUUACAUUCUUUGCACUUGCAGAGGAAAGCCAAAAAAUGAGAAACAAGAUUCUGCAGAAUGAGAAUAAGAGAAUCCAGACACUGAAAAAAAAAAACCUAAAGCAAAGCCUGGUGUUAUUGGUGGCGGUGGCGGUGGGACGGGUACCCACUUCUACCCGAUACUUUCAAGACACCUGAUCUCGGCCCCGGAACAUCAGGGUUUUUCGGUCACAAGUGCUUCUCCCGGUCUCGUGGUGGUCGAAUAUCUGAGCUUCGGGUACCCCCGGGGCGUGGCGAGGGAGGCAGGAACAAAUGUGGUAGGGUAUAUCUUGGGCUUCUCUUCAUGCGAUCGACGAUGGCGGAAUCAGGAACCAAUAUCGGGACUGUUUUGCCCGAACAAAUGAAAAUUAUUGCUGAUGUUUACUAUUAAGCUGUUACGUGAUUAGAGAAAAUCCAAAAAAAACACAGACCCACCAUUCUUUUGCAGCCACGGCAAUUGAAGUUC